rnacentral:rRNA from 1 species
GAUGAACGCUGGCGGCGUGCCUAAUACAUGCAAGUCGAGCGAACAGACGAGGAGCUUGCUCCUCUGACGUUAGCGGCGGACGGGUGAGUAACACGUGGAUAACCUACCUAUAAGACUGGGAUAACUUAGGGAAACCGGAGCUAAUAACGGAUAAUAUAUUGAACCGCAUGGUUCAAUAGUGAAAGACGGUGUUGCUGGCACUUAUAGAUGGAUCCGUGCCGCAUUAGCUAGUUGGUAAGGUCACGGCGUACCAAGUGUACGAUACGUAGCAGACCUGAGAGCGGGAUCUGCCACUCUUGAGCUUAAUCACGUUCAAGACUCUUACGGGACGCAGGAGUAGACAUUCUUCAGCUACUGGCGAGAGCCUGACGCAGCAACGCCGCGUGAGUGAUGAAGGUCUUCGGAUCGGAAAACUCUGUUAUUCGGGAAGAACAAAUGUGUAAGUCACUAUGCACGUCUUGACGGUUCCUUAUCAGAAAGCUACGGCUAACUACGUG